AGAUGCCCCAUUCUUCUGCUGCUUAAGACUCCUACCCAUGUUUCCUGGCUCAUGAGCCCAGUCAUGGAAUGGACUGUCUGCUGUUUCCAACCUGAAGAUAAACUAAAAGUUCCCAGGCAAGCAGAAACUAGCAGCUAAGCGGGCUACAUACUAAAUCCAGUUCAUGUCAUCAACCAGGACAUGGGCAAUCUACCAGUGACCAUCUCCCCAAACAAAGGUGAGUUUUCUUUGCCCCGUAGCUAUAUACUGCAAACAGCUCCUCAGCUGGGACCUAAGAAGCCUUUUUUCCACCCUACAUGCUGUAAUUUUAACCUGGCUAGAUCUAAUGUGGGUAGCCAGAACUGCUGUAAGUCCAUGAACGUAAUGGCCAUGCUGUGUCCAAAAGUUAGAACGUCACAACACUUCUCCCAUUCUCUAUCUCUCACAUCCUUUCUGCCUCUCUUCUAUGAUGUUCUCUGAGCCCUGAGGUAGCAGUUUAAUAC
rnacentral:lncRNA from 1 species